AAGUCGUAACAAGGUUUCCGUAGGUGAACCUGCGGAAGGAUCAUUAACAAAUCAAUACACACGAUCUCCUGGCGCAAGCUGGGAGUAUCUACACACGAUAACUUUUGACGAAAAUUGAGACGAUCAAUAGAAUCAACUUUUAACAAUGGAUCUCUUGGCUCUUGCAGCGAUGAAGAACGCAGCGAACUGCGAAAAGUAAUGUGACCUGCAAACUUCGUGAAUCAUCCAAUCUUUGAACGCAACUUGCACCUGAUGGCUUUAGUCAACAGGUAUACUUGUUUGAGUAUCUUAUACACACUCUCACAGCUCUGUGGGGAAUUGAGCGUCUUGCCAAAGUCGCUUUAAAGGAAGACCGGGCGUGCCUCGAGGACGCAUGGUCUAUUGGGAUAACAUCCUAACAAUAGACUGUCCGCUGGCCUCUUGUUGCAAGACAAGACUGGUUCCGUCGCAAGACACUUCUGAACACAGAUCUCAAAUCAAGUAAGGAUACCCGCUGAAUUUAAGCAUAUUAAUAAGCGGAGGAAAAGAAACUAACAAGGAUUCCCCUAGUAGCGGCGAGCGAAGAGGGAAGAGCUCAAAUUUAAAAUCUGGUACCUUUGGUAUCCGAAUUGUAUUUGAUAGGGCUUUUCUUCGUGAUCGGCUGUGGCCCAAGUCCUUUGGAACAAGGCAACAAAGAGGGUGAUAUUCCCGUCUAGGCCACGGAUCGUGAGCGGUAUAAGAAAAGUUCGACGAGUCGGAUUGCUUGGGAAUGCAGUCCAAAAUGGGUGGUACACGCCAUCUAAAGCUAAAUAACGGCAAGAGACCGAUAGCGAACAAGUACCGUGAGGGAAAGAUGAAAAGAACUUUGAAAAGAGAGUUAAAUAGUACGUGAAAUUGUUAAAAGGGAACCGAUUGAGAUCAGUGAUGUCUGUCGCAUUUCAGCUCAUCUGAUGAUGAGUGUAUUGUGUGGCAGGCAAGUCGACUCUUCUUUGUGCUCUUGGAAAAGGCCGUGGGAAAUGUGGCUCUGCUUGCAGUUGCUUUAUAGUCCCGCGGAGAUACAAGAGAACAGAGAAGACCGCAAGGAUAUUCCAAGUCGACGAAAUGGUCUUAAACGACC
rnacentral:rRNA from 1 species